UGCUUGAAGCAGCCACUGGGGGAAGGAGUGUACCUUUUGCCCACCUCAGCCAUCAGGGUUUCUGGCUGUAGACUUGCUCUCCUGACACAUCAAAGCCAUGGACAGCUAUUCUUCUACAUGAUCUGACGAUUAUGUUCCUUGCCCAGUUUUCUGCUCUUUUUACCAUCGAACAGCCUGGAGCUCCAUGAAUCAUAAGCAACAGCAAUUCAGAACAUUUUUAGAUAGAUAGCUUAGUUCUCACUGAGGUGGCAAACCUUAUGGAUCUGGGCUACAGCACUUCUCAGUUCACAUGUGGGCUCACAUUAUUGACAACAUGAGUGGAGCAAUCCAAGAGGACAGAUGGAGGUAGAGCCAAAAGCAGAUGAACCAUUUCUCAUAUUCCGGUUUUUUGUUUUUGAAACAGUUUCCCUUACAUUAAAGGAAACAAGCUCUGUCACCUCCAAGGCUGGUGUAGUUUGUCCCCCCACCUAUCCCAUUCCAAGAGUGUGUCAGCCAAAUGGGAAGUUGGUAGCUAUUAAG